rnacentral:rRNA from 1 species
UACGUAGGGGGCAAGCGUUGUCCGGAAUCAUUGGGCGUAAAGAGCGCGUAGGCGGUCCGAUAAGUCGGUUGUGAAAACUGGGGGCUCAACCCUCAGAGGCCGACCGAUACUGUCGGGCUAGAGUCCGGAAGAGGCGAGUGGAAUUCCUGGUGUAGCGGUGAAAUGCGCAGAUAUCAGGAGGAACACCAAUGGCGAAGGCAGUUCUCUGGGCCGUAACUGACGCUGAGGAGCGAAAGCGUGGGGAGCGAACAGG